rnacentral:rRNA from 1 species
AUUGAACGCUGGCGGAAUGCUUUACACAUGCAAGUCGAACGGCAGCACGGGGCAACCUGGUGGCGAGUGGCGAACGGGUGAGUAAUACAUCGGAACGUGCCCAAUCGUGGGGGAUAACGUAGCGAAAGUUACGCUAAUACCGCAUACGAUCUACGGAUGAAAGCGGGGGAUCGCAAGACCUCGCGCGAAUGGAGCGGCCGAUGUCAGAUUAGGUAGUUGGUGGGGUAAAGGCUCACCAAGCCAACGAUCUGUAGGCUGGUCUGAGAGGACGACCAGCCACACUGGAACUGAGACACGGUCCAGACUCCUACGGGAGGCAGCAGUGGGGAAUUUUGGACAAUGGGCGCAAGCCUGAUCCAGCCAUUCCGCGUGCAGGAUGAAGGCCUUCGGGUUGUAAACUGCUUUUGUACGGAACGAAACGGCGAGCUCUAAUACAGUUUGCUAAUGACGGUACCGUAAGAAUAAGCACCGGCUAACUACGUG